rnacentral:tRNA from 1 species
GCGCCCGUAGCUCAAAAGGAUAGAGCGCAGCGCUCCGGACGCUGAGGCUGAAGGUUCAACUCCUUUCGGGCGCACUA